GUUAAAUGCCUGGGUAAAUCGUGUCGCUUAACGAUACGAAUUCCAGGUAGACUGGCAGCCUUGGGACCGGGAGAGGUCAGAGGUACGUCAGGGGUAGGGGUAAAAUCCUGUAAUCCUUGGCGGACCACCAGUGGCGAAGGCGUCUGACUAGAACGGAUCCGACGGUAAGGGACGAAGCCCUGGGGCGCAAACGGGAUUAGAUACCCCGGUAGUCCAGGGUGUAAACGCUGCGCGCUUGGUGUUGGCGAUCCUACGAGGGUUGCCAGUGCCGGAGAGAAGUUGUUAAGCGCGCUGCCUGGGGAGUACGGUCGCAAGACUGAAACUUAAAGGAAUUG
rnacentral:rRNA from 1 species